rnacentral:rRNA from 1 species
CGCAGUAAUACGGAGGGUGCGAGCGUUGUUCGGAAUUAUUGGGCGUAAAGCGCACGUAGGCGGUUGGAUAAGUCUCGAGGUGAAAGGCCGGAGCUCAACUCCGUGCUUGCCCGGGAUACUGUCCGACUGGAGACAGGGAGAGGCCAGUGGAAUUCCGGGUGUAGCGGUGGAAUGCGUAGAGAUCCGGAAGAACACCGGAGGCGAAGGCGGCUGGCUGGCCCUGAUCUGACGCUGAGGUGCGAAAGCGUGGGGAGCGAACAGG